rnacentral:rRNA from 1 species
GAUAAGGUUAAGUGAAUAAGGGCGCACGGUGGAUGCCUUGGCACUAGGAGCCGAUGAAGGACGGGACUAACACCGAUAUGCUUUGGGGAGCUGUACGUAAGCUAUGAUCCAGAGAUUUCCGAAUGGGGGAACCCAGCAUCUUUAAUAGGAUGUUACGAUUGUGUGAAUACAUAGCACAUUCGAGGUAGACGCAGAGAACUGAAACAUCUAAGUACCUGCAGGAAGAGAAAGAAAAUUCGAUUCCCUGAGUAGCGGCGAGCGAAACGGGAAAAGCCCAAACCAACAAGCUUGCUUGUUGGGGUUGUAGGACUCCAAUAUGGUCGUUCUUUCAGAUAGUCGAAUGACUUGGAAAAGUCAGUCAAAGAGGGUAAAAACCCCGUAGACGAAAUGUGGAAGACACCUAGGAGGAUCCUGAGUACGGCGGAACACGAGAAAUUCCGUCGGAAUCCGGGAGGACCAUCUCCCAAGGCUAAAU